rnacentral:rRNA from 1 species
GAACGCUGGCGGCAGGCCUAACACAUGCAAGUCGAACGGUAACAGGAAGAGCUUGCUUCUUUGCUGACGAGUGGCGGACGGGUGAGUAAUGUCUGGGAAACUGCCUGAUGGAGGGGGAUAACUACUGGAAACGGUAGCUAAUACCGCAUAACGUCGCAAGACCAAAGAGGGGGACCUUCGGGCCUCUUGCCAUCGGAUGUGCCCAGAUGGGAUUAGCUGUGGUGGGGUAACGGCUCACCUAGGCGACGAUCCCUAGCUGGUCUGAGAGGAUGACCAGCCACACUGGAACUGAGACACGGUCCAGACUCCUACGGGAGGCAGCAGUGGGGAAUAUUGCACAAUGGGCGCAAGCCUGAUGCAGCCAUGCCGCGUGUAUGAAGAAGGCCUUCGGGUUGUAAAGUACUUUCAGCGGGGAGGAAGGGAGUAAAGUUAAUACCUUUGCUCAUUGACGUUACCCGCAGAAGAAGCACCGGCUAACUCCGUGCCAGCAGCCGCGGUAAUACGGAGGGUGCAAGCGUUAAUCGGAAUUACUGGGCGUAAAGCGCACGCAGGCGGUUUGUUAAGUCAGAUGUGAAAUCCCCGGGCUCAACCUGGGAACUGCAUCUGAUACUGGCAAGCUUGAGUCUCGUAGAGGGGGGUAGAAUUCCAGGUGUAGCGGUGAAAUGCGUAGAGAUCUGGAGGAAUACCGGUGGCGAAGGCGGCCCCCUGGACGAAGACU